rnacentral:rRNA from 1 species
UACAGAGGUGGCAAGCGUUGUUCGGAAUUACUGGGCGUAAAGGGCGCGUAGGCGGCCAUCUAAGUCAGACGUGAAAUCCCCCGGCUUAACCUGGGAACUGCGUCUGAUACUGGACGGCUUGAGUAUGGGAGAGGGAUGUAGAAUUCCAGGUGUAGCGGUGAAAUGCGUAGAUAUCUGGAGGAAUACCGGUGGCGAAGGCGGCAUCCUGGACCAUUACUGACGCUGAGGCGCGAAAGCGUGGGGAGCAAACAGG